AUAAUAAUAAUAAUAAUAAUAAUAAUAAUAAUAAUAAUAAUAAUAAUAAUAAUAAUAAUAAUAAUGUGGUGUAUGGAUUUGUUUUAUGUGCCUGAUAUGAAAUCAAUCAAAUUACAUUGAAAUAUUGAGUAUUUCUAGGUUCACUGUAGUUUUAAACUUGUUUGCCUGGUUUGAUUGAUUUAUAGUGAAGCUAUUUUACCAGUCCUGAUAUUCUUGUACAGUAAUGCCUUCUAAAAGCUUUCUCUGGAAAUCAGACGUCAAAAAAUCCCUUGUGCUCGUGUUCCUGGAUUUUUAAGGGUUUUGUUAAUUUUGGAGUUUGUUAAUUAAAUAAAGCGUGUGUGUGUGUGCGUGUGCACGUGUGUAUGUUUCACAUAUCCAAACAAAUAUUCAAAUAAACAUUUUAUUAUGUGUAUAAAUGCAAGCCGUUGACGUGUAUGUGAGUUGUGUGAAAGAUGGACCUCACUGAGAAUAAAUGUGAAUAACUGGAAAAAGUCUCACUGACUGACAGCAAAAUAAAACAAGCUAUUUAGAGAUUAA